rnacentral:rRNA from 1 species
GACGGCCUAAUACCGUAUGAUAUCGUUUGCUGACAUCAAAAUAACGAUUAAAGGUUUAGCGGGUUAUGGAUGGGAUGCGUCUGAUUAGCUUGUUGGCGGGUAACGGCCCACCAAGGCGACGAUCAGUAGGGGUUCUGAGAGGAAGGUCCCCCACAUUGGAACUGAGACACGGUCCAAACUCCUACGGGGAGGCAGCAGUGAGGAAUAUUGGUCAAAUGGGCGAGAGCCUGAACCAGCCAAGUAGCGUGCAGGACGACGGCCCUAUGGGUUGUAACUGCUUUUAUGUGGGGAUAAAGUGCGUGACGUGUCAUGCAUUGCAGGUACCACAUGAAUAAGGACCGGCUAAUUCCGUGCCAGCAGCCGCGGUAAU